GGAUCUCUGGCCAGGCGGUCCCGUCUAGAGCUGCAAGAACCGCGUCCAUGGCUGGGAGAGAGGAGGAAUAUACUGCAAUAGCUGAUGCUGCACAGUCGCUAAUAUCAUUGAUUUCGAGAAGACAGCAACAACCCGAAGGCAGUGGUCAAGGAGGAAGAGGGCAACCACCUCGAAGGUUGCAGUCAGAUGGACACAACACCCCAAGUACAUCAGUUGGAACAAGUCAGCUACCGACGAUCCAAAAUGAAAUGCAGAGGUCAUUUCCAGGUUAUUUUCGUCGUGAA